CUGCUGCGAAUUAACCAUAAAAGCCGUCAACAAUAGCUAUCCUUCCAUCUCGGGCUGUUCGACUAGAGGGACUAUAUGGUGUUCCUCCGCGCUACCGCCUCCCAGCCGAGAAGCGGGAUCACGUGACGGAGCAGCCGAGGACACUCCUCCCUCCCGCCCGCCGGGGAGUGUUGGAGGUUUGCGGAGGGGCUUCUGCUCCUGCCCGCCAACAAAGCCCGAGGCGCUCGGCGCGCUGAUUGGCUGGCGGCGUGAUAUUCGUGUGCGCGCUGAGCCGCCAUUGGCUGAGGUCCGAAAGAGGCGAGAUGGUGAGGCGAGAGGCACGGAGGAUAAGGAGCGACAAAAUGGCGGUGUGGAGUCUUAGCGCUCUGCUUGCGGCCUCACUUUUCCGUGGCCUGUCCCCCUCUAAGCACCGCGCCUUCUUUGUUCCUAACAGCUCCUCACACUCCACACGAAGCCCCGUCCCCGCCCAAGCACUGUUCCCUCUUCGUUCUUAACAGCCCCUUCAGACAAAGCCUGGUGGAUUUGAGGGCGGAACUCUCCUGAGGAGAGUCGCUGCUCCCUCAGAUAAGCGGGAGCCUCCCUGUCUGCCACCUGCCCCACGGAGAUAGGGCUGUCUGGGGCAUGGGCUGUGUGUUUGUGUCCCUGACAGCCUGCCAGCAUUAUAGCAAUGGAAUAACGUUGGCCUGGGGUGGUUUGUGAGGAGACCCAAGGGCGGCCAUUACUCAGGUGGAGGAGAGCAUUAGUGGGUCAUCUAUACAGCCUUGCAGCCCUAGCAAUCAGCCUCACCUUGGGAAGCUUUUCAAGCAGUUUUGCAUUGUUUUAUCUAAACUAAAUCAGCCAGGUGAGAAGGAAGCCCUGCUUUCCUCACCUCUAGCCCAGCCUAAACAUUUCUAGCAGCUCCUCUGGCCUUCAGCCAGCUCAGCUAACCCCCAUAUGAAACCCAGGGGGAACAGUUGGUUUCAGUCCCCUCCUGAUUCCCUGAUGACGCUAAAGCACCACAUGCAGCUCUGAAUGAGCUGGGAAGGUCGCUACCCAUGUACUCCCUCACUACCCAGCUUUUGGUUGCUUUCCUACACUGCCAGCCCUACAGCGCACCAUCAGCUCUGAAGGUUAAUCAUCGAAUGACUUAGGUUGGAAGGGACCUUAAAGAUCAUCAAGCUCCAACCCCCCUCCAUGGAUCCUUGCUUGCUCAAAACAUCAUCACCCUGUCGGUCAAACUCCUCUUGGCUCCACUGCAAAAGGCUCCCUUGUUUUCCAGUUAGGCCUUGGUAGUAUUUGUGUACAGCCAUGGUUGGCUUUGGCCUUGGCUCAGUUUGCACAGGUAUAGCUGCCUGGAACUCAUUAAACAGCCCCACUGAUAAUCCCAGAGGACAGGCAUGGCCAGGGAGGACAGGCAUGGCCAAGUUUCUACUUUUAGCAGCAGGAUGUCACCAUCACCGAUACAAAUCAGGAAUCAAGCGUAGAUUUUAAAUGGCUCACUAAGGUGGAAGAGAAAAAUGCCCUCCAGUGCCAGAAAACACGAUAGCAACUGAAUGAUCUCAGAUGACUGCUCUGAUACACGCACCAAUAAGCAGGCAGAUCUUGCUUCAAAGCAAAAUUCAGAGGAUGGAUGCAGCAGCUUCCAAAGAAGUCCGAUGGGUGAUUGGCUUGGAUGAGAGGCAGCAUCUCUGUGAUUUGGCUGGCUGAGGGAGGGCUCUCAUAUCCCCCACAUCCAAGUGCAAAGAAAAAGGUGAUUGCACUACUGUAAUUGUAGCUAAAUAAACAGAAAUGCUCUACUCACCCAAUCCUUCCUCUUGAAAAGGUAAUUAUAGAUUUCUGCAGAAAGGACUCUGGGUACGUGUUGGCAAGGAUCACGCAAGCAAAAAUGAUGCAUGUAAUGAGGAAAUUAACCCAGAUCUGCCUGUUUCCUAGCUGCCCGCUUCCCUUUUUGUUUUGCAAACCUGGAAAUUCGUCUGUCUUUUGAGCGCCAGGCAGGUUUUUUUUUUUUUUUUCCAUCUUCAAUUCAGGAAGUGAAAUCAAGUAACAAAAAGCCAGCCAUUUAGUAACAGUGUUAUUUCUCCCUGUUUCCUGAAGGAGACUGCAGAAUUACCAUUGUUACAUAAUUUAAUGAGAUAAGUCUUUAAUUCUGUUACAAAACAUGUCUCUGCUUUUGCAGAUGUUACAUCAGAGAUUUCUCCUUGGUGGCUUGAGUUUUGUGACUGAGCUAGAAGAUAAUCCUUCAAGCCUAAGUAACAGUUCCUUAGGAAUUUUUGUGCAAAUAAAAUAGCAAAUAUUUUCUAAGCACAGAACUACUAGCUACCCACUAACUCAAAUGUUCCUUUUUCAGCACCGCAGAAUAUAUUUGUGGCUUAGACGUGUGGAGAGAAGCCUGAUAGCUCUGAAGAAAAUUGAAUUUGCAGAACAAAAAGAUGGCUUCUGAAUGAAGAUUAAUGCGUGUGCAUGUUCAAUGAACUCCUGAUGACACGUUAACAGCUUUAGCGCUGCUGAUGUUAUUUUCCUGCCCUAGGCAUGGUAUCUCAGCAGAGAGCUCCUGCAAUAAGUCAGAUCCAUCCCUAUCCAGAAGCGAGGUGCCAGCUGCAGGCAAGAGGAGAUGCUCAUGCAGAGCUCACAGCAGGAUAGAGGCCAAAGUGACCUUGAUGGGGAGUGACGAAAUGCUCAGAUAUAUACAGCACUGCAGAAACCACCAAGAGGACAACAGGAAGCGAACCCCAGGUGCACAGCCUUACUCUGCACUUCAGUGAGCAAAGAAUUUCCAGUCACCAGGAGGAAAUCUUCCGGCAGAGUGUUGAGGGAAACACAAAGAUGGAUUGAGGCAAAGCACUUGUAAAGUCUGAGCAAUUUUGAGGGAGAAUUACCUACAGUCUCUGCAGCUCAGGGUAAUUCGCAGUGCUUGGUUGCUUCUCCCCUCAUGCAGCACAAAUGCAUAACUGGAGAAUUGGUUCUGCCAGAUCCUCUCUGUAAGCUCUUUAAGGAUUGCUUUAUAGACCUUCCAUUUUAAAACCGGGUGGAGAGAUGAAUAUAUGUGAUUAAAGAUUGAGCUGGGAGGUAUUAGUGUCCAUCUUUUAUUAUGUACAAACAAAAAAUAAGGUAGCCAUAUGCUGUGCCUCAUUUGUUUUGGACCGGUGCACCAAAUGGAAUCUCUAAUAAAUCAUUCAUUGCUUGCCCACCCCCUCAUUUCCUUAUGUUUCCGUCCUGAUAUGUAAAUUUCACUGACAUUUGAAAUUAGACUAAUAAAAAAAAAAAAGGAUUAAAUCUGCAAUUUACAUUUGCAACUUGCAGUUCAAUUAUUUCAGACAGAUAUGGAAACACUCUUGGUUGUCCACCUACAUUUUUCUUCCUGAGCAAAAGCAGACAUGCCAAGCACAUGCUGAUAGCUCACAACAUACAUUUCUCCAGAGGCUCAGUUACUCAGAGCUGGACAGGCUGUGGCCAGCUGCCAUAAGGAAAAACAUUGUGCAAAUCCAGUAAGAGGGAGGUGAGAUUUAACUUGUAACUUGCCCAAGCAUGAAUUUCCUGAGCAAAGCUACAGUGGGUUGAAAAUGAUGUUUAGCAAAAAAUAUGUGUGAAGGGGGAGGGAGCUGACAUUUGUUCAGAGCAUCCGAGGAUUUGGAAGUUUUCUCAUCUUCCAGCCGUAUUUUAUUAUGAUGGAAGGACUUGAGGGUCAAGUACAAUCCCUUGUGUGUAUUAGCACAUAUGGGAGCAGUUUAGCAUGCAAAUGAAAGCCUUCCAGUUGUCCAAACAAUAAAAGAACAGAACCAUAUCUCAAUGGAAAUCGCUGUUAUUCACCAGGGCUCAGUUAUGCAGACCCAGUGCAGAUGUGUGUGCGCUCAGCGCCCACCAAAGUGAAGGUGCAUCAGCAGCACCUGCUGGAGCCACAAGUACCAGGUGCCUUGUGCCUUCCUGUGAAACAGGAUGUGGAGGAGAGUGGCAAUGCAAAUUCCUUGUUUUGUUUUUAACUUUCCAGGAGUUGGGCUCACUGAUCCUUAUGUCUCUUCCAACUUGGGAUAUUCUGUGAUUCUAUAAUUCUAAUGUCACGUAACUUCAGAGCGUAUUGAAAGGCAAGGAGGAGAAACUGCAAAUGGUUGUACUCUGUUCAUGAAAUCAAACAGCAUCCUGAGGAUAUCUUGGAUGCAUUGAGGUCACUUGGUUUCCAAUGCUGGCAGGCAGAUUCAGCAGGAGCAUAGGCAUAGCAGGUAGUUCAGGCAGAGCUCUACAACUCAUCCGGGGAUAAAUCAGAGUUGAGGCUCUGAGUAGCUCCCUGGGUCCAUAGGGAACACUGCAGACAUUAUUUUGUAAUACUUCUCCACUCUGUAAGCAAAAGCUGCUGGCAGCUGGAAUUUACCAGCAGACUUUAAUCUGUAUCAAUAUGUGUGUUUGUUUAUGGGGGAUGAGGGGGAAAUUCUUGGCGGAUGUUGAUGCGUUCAGGAUGCCAAACUGAUAACCUUUGCCUCAGUAACUCAUUUUCCCUCCUGAGGUCUCUGCACAGGGAUGUUUGGCAAAGGAAAGAAGAUUCUUCCAGAAGCCCGCUCUGCUCCCUACACUUCAGCCUGGGCUGCUGGCCGGCAUGGGCAGCCUUGGCACAGCCUCCUCAGGUGUGCUACAGGGGGACUGGCUAUGGACUAGCUGGAGAAUAGUCCCCCAAAAUACUUCAUAGCCAAAGCAUUGUCUUGAGUAAGUGUUGUGGCUUCUCAGCCUAUUGCCCCUCCUACUUGUGUCACUGUGGUGCUUGGUGAGGGAGCUUUGCAGUGCUGUCGGCAGGAAGAUGUUACUGAGCUUGACUUUUGUGAGAAUUCUGUUGGAGGAACCAGCCACUGCAACCCACCUCUGCUGGGGGGUAUUGCUGGCCUGCUCUUUUGGCAUUCAGAGGGUGAGAGCUUUCCUGCGAUUGCGACAAAGGUGGGCCUCUCCUCUGGGUCUGAGGCAAUGCAGGUGCUGUUCAGGAGGGCAACACCUGAACAUCUUGGUCAGGAAUUGUCAGUGACACUGAUCUGCAAGCUGAACACUCACCAGAAAAGCGAGUCUCCCUGAGGCAGUGCAGGCUCUGUCUGACCACAAAAGGGCUGAGCAUGUCCCAAGCCACACAGUCUGGAAGUCCAUUGUGCCCAUGACACCACACAUCUUCCUUUGCCAGUACACAGUGAUGAAGAUGGAUCACUCUUCUUCUUACUUUCUCUUCUUAUGCAAGAAAGCAAUUACUUUCUUUUUUUUUUUUUUUUUAAGCGGGUUCUUAUUACACAUCACCAGUUUGUCAUUCAAGAAAAGGCACUGUCCUAGAUGCUUGCUGCUGUCUCUUUGUGGUGAUUUGGAAAUUAAGGGAAGAUUUGUGCAUUGGUCACGCGCUUGCUUCAGCAAAACCCAACCUCCACUUGAAUGUCAGGAAGCUGGGACCCCAGCCAACACUCUCUGACAAGCAACGUGGGAGCACAGUUCUGUGGGAUUACUGCAUCUUCUGCUAUCUUUGCUUCGGCAUACCUCAGGCCCUCUGACAGCAUGUCACCACUGCUAUAAACAACCAGGAGCCUGCACAUAAUUCAGAUGAUAUUAUCUGGGUAGCUGAAGGUAGUUACGUCCAAGGCCAUAACUAACCUCCGUGCUAAAUAAAUUCAAGAAUUUGAAGGCAAAAAUGUCUCUUUGCCAUACUCCUUCCAGGAAUAAUUGUUUCUUGCCUUUCAAAGGUGGUGAGGAGCCUGCCUGCAGCAUUGUGAGUUUUGACAAAACAUCUGUCAUGGAACAGGUAAAGAUGCACUCCAUCAUUUGCCAUCUAUGCCCUUGUGUCUGUUGCCUAUUAUGCUCAUGUCCUUUGCAGUGCUGAACAGAAUGAGACAAGAAAGCCUUACAGGACUGGGAUCAUUGCAGUGGGAUGUCUAACAGGGCAGUAUGUCACUGCUGCCUUUGCAGAAUGGCAGUGAUUCUACCACAAGAGGCAGGGAAAGGGGAGGACUCGCACUGCAGCUGAGAGAACUUAAAAGAAACGAAACCCAGAAAACUCACGGAAGCAACUUUUCCUCAUUAUUUAUAUGAAGAAGGCUUUUCAUGAGGAAUGUGGAUAGAAUUUGUAUAUACACUUAUAUAUAUAUAUACACAUAUAUAUUUUCCCUGAGAAGUUUAGCACUGAGUUUGAAAAGACAGAUCAAAUUGCUACUUAGCUACUGGAGCCAGGGAAAUUGAACCAGGGCAGCAAAUUAAAAACCCAUCUGAUUUCUAGUGUGCUUAAAGUGAUUGUGUUCAGAACCGACUACUGCAUGAGUACUUUGAAAAGCUUAAGACAGAGAAAAGUUUGAGUUCCAUAUGCCAAACUCCUGCUUUCCUGCUAUCCGUAAAUUGUCAAGAAUACUUUCUAUGAAUGGAAUGACUUCAAGAUCUCUGCUUUACCCUUCGGUCUGACCAGUCUCUUCAGCUUUACCAUUUGCAAGGUUAUUGCACAGGAUCACAUGCUAUAAAGAUAUUAUUAGCCUGCUCACCAUCCCAUUUCUGUCUCAGUGACUUGAGAAUAACGCUGUCCUUCUCAGAGUAUGCUAAUAAAACUGUUAUACCAUGCUAUCAUCGAUUGUGUAGAGGACAUACUUGUUGCAUGACAGCUAUUUUAAGAAGGUUUUGUAUCUUUUGAAUUUUUAAAUGUAAGCUUGGUUACAUUCAUUUCCAGGCCAGGACCGUGCUUGUUUAACAAGGUGCGCUCCCAUAAGCUGCUUGUUCCUUAGGCUAAGAACAAAAGAGAACCGGACUGUUUGCAGAGUGCCAUUUGUGCUGCUCUUUGCAGCAACCUUUUGCAUACAUGAAAUAAUUACCAUGACUCCACUUAAUUAUUUCUUCCCUCCAUUAAACAAACCCUAUCUUUUGAUCUCACUGUGCAUGCUGGGACAGCUUUUAUGCAAAAGUGCAAACUGCUACAUACAUUAAACAUGGAUUGCAAGCCUUAAGCUUUCCAAGAGCAUUAAUGUGAGAGGUGUCAUAGCUGGCACAGGUUCCACACAGCAGCUUGUACUAGCUGUUCCCAUAAGAGACGAUAUGAUGUGAAA